UAUACGCACCUCUGAUAAAGAAUUUCCUCUGAAGUCUAAUCAGCAGCGUCUCCUUAUGCAGUGCACCCUCUUUCUUCAUCUGGGGAUGGAGUGCUCGUCCACAGUAAGCUACGGUGUCUGGCUAUCCAGCAGCUGGCUUCAAGCACGGGACUCCGAGGGGACUCCUCUUUGGUCUUCCCGUUAUUUCACAUAUUUACACAGUGCAGAGGGAUUCUUCCUGGUCCACGGGUCAGAGAGGAGAAUUCUAGUGUACUGCAUCUAGUCCUUUCACUCGUAUCCAGUUUCACCUGGGCUGCUAACCCACUUCCUAAUUGACAUAAAUGGAUCCUGGCUGUGCUCAUGGCUAGCUCCGCCUUUCACCUGUGAAAUUUCCGUUACGGGAGUUUGUGAAGUAGCCAUUUCUCGGAGGCAAAGACAGAAUUGUCUCAGAAAUACAGAACACUUGUUAUUAGACGGGCUUUUACAAUUUAAUUCUUGGAAUGUUGCUCUCCAUUGAAGAAUAGUUAAUCAUUGGUAGAGACAUGUCAGUCGCACACUGCAGCUUAUAUACAGUCAUGUGUAGCUUAAUGACCAGGAUUUGCUCUGAGAAAUGUGUCCUUAGGUGAUUUCGUCAUUGUGCAAAUAUCAUAGAGUGUCUUUGCAUAAACCAGGAUGGUAGAGCCUCUCACACACCUAAGCUGUAUGAUAAAGUCUAUUGCUCCUAAGCUGCAAGCAGCAGGGUACUGUACUGAAUACUGUAGGCAGUUGUAACACAAUGGUAAGUAUUUGUGUAUCUAAACAUAGAAAAGGUACAAUAAAAAUACAGUACUAUAAUCUUACGAGACCACUGUUGUACAUGUGGUCUGUCAUCGACUGAGACGUCAUGGGGCACGUGACCAUAUCACAUGUUUUAGAAUCAAGAUUAGACUCUAAACUUUCCAACAACCCUAUUGUCCUGUUACUUGUUUCAGGGCUCAAAACAUUGUUGAGGCUGUGGCAUGUUUUGUGCUAUAUAAUCUGCUCCUAUUCCCUGAGAUUUCUCUUGUGAAAAACUGUCCAUGGCUUUGUUCUUGGGCAUGCUGAGCCACAAUGUGGAACUUUCCCAUAAUUUACUAUGCCAGUCACUGCAGCCCUUCUGAGAGGCUGGAGAGAACUCUGUUUCUUUUUCUGUUGUUUUUUUUUUCUACUGAUAUUUUGUUAAAAAUGUAGGUAGACUUUCCCAUCUUAAACUGAUAGCAAAAAGAAGAGGCAAAUAACAGAAGGAACUAUCAACCACUGUUGUUGUUUCCAUUCAUGCUUAUUCUUUAUGAAAUGUUUCUGUGCAUGGAGGGAAACUGUCCCAACACCUGCCUUUUUCGGGAAUCACACAUAUUGUUAGUGUUGAGAUAACACAUUUUGAACCUUUAUUUUUAUUUUCUGUGUGCUUUUAUUGCCCAGAAAGUGUGUGUGUGCGUGUCUGUCUGUCUGUCUACGGUGAGGGGAGGUGGGAAGAGGGAGAGGGCAGGGAAGGAGAAGGAAGCAAAGCAAAGCUUUGAAGUUAGUGCAAAACUAAUAUUUUGGGUAAAAAGCUUUUCCUUUGCCAGAGCAAAUAUUUGAUUGCUUCAAUUCUUCUAAAAUAGUCUAUUUUCUUCUUGUUUCAGCAUCUAGUAAAUUUUGGGCAGUCCUGUUUAGCAAAAGAGAAUGAAUCCAAUCAGCAUGUCUCAGAAGGUACAGCAAUAGGGUUGGAGGAAAAAUAAUGUAUGAGAAAAGUGAACUGCAGUGUGCUUUUAACUCAUUUAUAACAGUUAAUCAAACUAAAUAUCUGACUGGCAAAUUAACCACUUUGAAGAUAUUUUGUCACGAGAGUGAUGGUGGCGAAAGGUACAGGUGAUACCUUGUAUGUGCCAAUCAGCCAUUUAUCUUACUGGCCAGCCAGAAAAUGGCUUUCAUUAGUUACAUAGCUUUAUGGAACUAAACUCAUUUCUUUGAGGUGUGAUGGCACAAUAAAGAGAAUAUUACCAUGUGACUGAGGCCAAUCUUCUGUUUUGCCCAAUAGGCCACUUUCCGAGUGAUAGCAUUUUCAAAAUUUGAGGUUUGUAGGGCCAGUCGCUGAGGCCGAUGACUGCAGGCAGGUCCCUUUUCCUUUGUUUGGGUCAGUGGCCCCAAGGUGAGCUGUGCUGCUCUGGUUCUUGUUUGGUGUAUACACGAUGGCAUCCUCUGUUCAGGUCUAAGGUUUCAUGUCUUCACCAGUAGAAACAGGAUACCUUCUCAAUUUUUAAAUUAGAACUGCAAGUUUAAUUCUUUAUCAAACCAUCUAAAUAUGAUAACCCCAAUCAGUAAUUAAAAUUCCCCCAGUUUAAAAAUUGUAUUCAUCCCUGAGAGGUCUGAGAAACAAAAUUUAAAACAAAAAUAAACAAUUUAAAACUGAAAGGGAGCUCUCAGAUUCUGUCUGUCUAAGCUUCUCAUUUUAAAGGUGAAAACAAUACAGUUAUCACGUACAGCUCUAAAGGUUCUGUUGUCGGUGUUUUGUAUGUGUAUAAUGUGGGGUGUGUGUGUUGUGUGUGUGUGUGUGUGUGUGUGUGUGUGCGUAUGAACUGAUUCUUGCAAGCUGAUGAGGUCGUUAUGAUUAUUUAUUUAUUUAUUUAUUUAUUUAUUUAUUUAUUUAUUUGAGAAGGAGUCUCUCUCUGUCGCCCAGGCUGGAGUGCAGUGGUGCGAUCUCGGCUCACUGCAAGCUCCACCUCCCGGGUUCACGCCAUUCUCCUGCCUCAGCCCCGAGUAGCUGGAACUACAGGCGCCCCCCACCACACCCGGCUAAUUUUUUGUAUUUUUAGUAGAGACAGGGUUUCACCGUGUUAUCCAAGAUGGUCUCGAUCUCCUGACCUCAUGAUCCGCCCGCCUCGGCCUCCCAAAGUGCUGGGAUUACAGGCGUGAGCCACCGCGCCCGGCCGAGGUCGUUAUGAUUAUUAUUAUCCCUGCCUUACAGGUAAGAAACCUAGGCCUCGAGGGGUUCAUUUACCUUCCGUGGUCAAAGAUCUAGCAGUGGCA
rnacentral:lncRNA from 10 species